rnacentral:lncRNA from 1 species
CUGGCGCACGUGAGGCCCCGUUCCAUGCCCAGAUCCACAAAAACCCUACGACUUACUUACCCAUUCCUCACGAAGCCUCCCGUACCCCAGAAAACCCAAGCUGAACAAGGCUGGGCUCCUUCUCCCUCCGACCCUUCUUCUGUUAACAGGGGCUUCAGCCAUGAGCCAGGCAAUGGGAGGGAAGAGGUCCACCCUUGCCAGUCCCCUGCAGUGGCCUCGAGCAGAAUCAUCUCACUCCACCCCCUCAUCCUGCGUGCACCCUGCUCUGGGGGACAGAAAAUAAUUUUCUCUAUCUUUUGUAGUUCUUAACGGGGACUCGGAUGACAAAAGACAGAUUAACAAGAGAGAAACAAAUAGAAGUUCGUUAGCAGGUGUCCCCGUGGGCACCAGGGAAGCGAGUGGCUCUGGAGGAAGUUUCGACUUCAGACUUGAACCCCGCCAUUUUCUGAAGCAGAAAGAAGGGCCUGGGGGAGCCGAGCACCCCAAGCUCAGGAAGGCUGUGCGGUCGAGGCCCCACCUCCCUGCAGUGUCUCCGGUCCUUCUUCCCCUUUGGGGCCCGGGCACCCUCCCAGGGGGUUGCCCCCCCCCCAGAGGUGCCUUCCUCUUACAAGGAGGUGACUUUUCAGAGCUGCUCUGGUGGCCGCAAUGUCUCAGAAUGACCAGCUCAAAAUCAUCAUCACGCCAAACAGGCCUAUGGCAGGGUGGCCUCGUCUGGCCUAUCCUGGGCAUAUCUGGGGGGGACGUGCCGUAGGCCCCAUCGCCACCUUCCAGGGGAACCCCAGGCAUCUCCCUGUCACACAGCGAGUGCCCAGGAGCUGCAGGCGGCUGCCAGCCUCCCCUGGCCUUCCCUCUGCACUCACAUCCUCCCUCAGGUCCUGUGCCUCUGCCCUGAGCCUCCUGGGGAGGGUAGACCCUGCUCUUUUUUGGGAGGGGCAGUACCAGGGAUUGAACUCAG